UACGUAGGGUGCAAGCGUUGUCCGGAAUUAUUGGGCGUAAAGAGCUCGUAGGCGGUCUGUCGCGUCGGACGUGAAAUCCCCAGGCUCAACCUGGGAACUGCGUCCGAUACUGGAUGGCUUGAAUCCGGGAGAGGGAUGCAGAAUUCCAGGUGUAGCGGUGAAAUGCGUAGAUAUCUGGAGGAAUACCGGUGGCGAAGGCGGCAUCCUGGACCGGCAUUGACGCUGAGGAGCGAAAGCCAGGGGAGCAAAGCGGG
rnacentral:rRNA from 1 species